GUAAACAUUGUGGAACUAACUGGCCUCUGUUUUGCCUCUUCUUACCCAGCACAGAUGGCCAGGAACAUAUCCUGAUCACCCGAGAGGAUGACUUCAACAACAGGCUGAACAACCGCGCCAGUUUCAAGGGCUGCACGGCCUUGCACUAUGCUGUUCUUGCUGAUGACUACCGCACUGUCAAGGAGCUGCUUGAUGGAGGAGCCAACCCCCUGCAGAGGAAUGAAAUGGGACACACACCCUUGGAUUAUGCCCGAGAAGGGGAAGUGAUGAAGCUUCUGAGGACUUCUGAAGCCAAGUACCAAGAGAAGCAGCGGAAGCGUGAGGCCGAGGAGCGGCGCCGCUUCCCCCUGGAGCAGCGACUGAAGGAGCACAUCAUUGGCCAGGAGAGCGCCAUCGCCACAGUGGGUGCUGCGAUCCGGAGGAAGGAGAAUGGCUGGUAUGACGAAGAACACCCUCUGGUCUUCCUCUUCUUGGGAUCAUCUGGAAUAGGAAAAACAGAGCUGGCCAAGCAGACAGCCAAAUAUAUGCACAAAGAUGCUAAAAAGGGCUUCAUCAGGCUGGACAUGUCCGAGUUCCAGGAGCGACACGAGGUGGCCAAGUUUAUCGGGUCCCCACCAGGCUACGUUGGCCAUGAGGAGGGUGGCCAGCUGACCAAGAAGUUGAAGCAGUGCCCCAAUGCUGUGGUGCUCUUUGAUGAAGUAGACAAGGCCCAUCCAGAUGUGCUCACCAUCAUGCUGCAGCUGUUUGAUGAGGGCCGGCUGACAGAUGGAAAAGGGAAGACCAUUGAUUGCAAGGACGCCAUCUUCAUCAUGACCUCCAAUGUGGCCAGCGACGAGAUCGCACAGCACGCGCUGCAGCUGAGGCAGGAAGCUUUGGAGAUGAGCCGUAACCGUAUUGCCGAAAACCUGGGGGAUGUCCAGAUAAGUGACAAGAUCACCAUCUCAAAGAACUUCAAGGAGAAUGUGAUUCGCCCUAUCCUGAA
rnacentral:sRNA from 1 species